rnacentral:rRNA from 1 species
AACGAACGCUGGCGGCAUGCCUAACACAUGCAAGUCGAACGAGACCUUCGGGCCUAGGGGCGCACGGGUGCGUAACGCGUGGGAACCUGCCCGUAGGUUCGGAAUAACUCCCCGAAAGGGGUGCUAAUACCGGAUAAUGUCUUCGGACCAAAGAUUUAUCGCCUUUGGAUGGGCCCGCGUUGGAUUAGCUAGUUGGUAGGGUAAAAGCCUACCAAGGCGACGAUCCAUAGCUGGUCUGAGAGGAUGAUCAGCCACACUGGGACUGAGACACGGCCCAGACUCCUACGGGAGGCAGCAGUGGGGAAUAUUGGACAAUGGGCGAAAGCCUGAUCCAGCAAUGCCGCGUGAGUGAUGAAGGCCCUAGGGUUGUAAAGCUCUUUUACCCGGGAUGAUAAUGACAGUACCGGGAGAAUAAGCUCCGGCUAACUCCGUG